UACGUAGGGGGCAAGCGUUGUCCGGAUUUAUUGGGCGUAAAGGGCGCGUAGGCGGUUUCUUAAGUUUGGAGUGACAGUGGGUGGCUUAACUACCCAAGGCCUCUGAAAACUGGGGAACUUGAGGACCAGAGAGGGACAUAGAAUUCCGGGUGGAGUGGUGAAAUGCGUAGAUAUCCGGAGGAAUACCAAAGGCGAAGGCAGUGUCCUGGAGGGUGACUGACGCUGAGGCGCGAAGGCUAGGGGAGCGAACAGG
rnacentral:rRNA from 1 species